CCUACGGGGGGCAGCAGUGGGGAAUAUUGCACAAUGGGCGCAAGCCUGAUGCAGCCAUGCCGCGUGUAUGAAGAAGGCCUUCGGGUUGUAAAGUACUUUCAGCGGGGAGGAAGGUGCUGAGGUUAAUAACCUCAGCAAUUGACGUUACCCGCAGAAGAAGCACCGGCUAACUCCGUGCCAACAGCCGCGGUAAUACGGAGGGUGCAAGCGUUAAUCGGAAUUACUGGGCGUAAAGCGCACGCAAGCGGUCUGUCAAGUCGGAUGUGAAAUCCCCGGGCUCAACCUGGGAACUGCAUUCGAAACUGGCAGGCUAGGGUCUUGUAGAGGGGGGUAGAAUUCCAGAUGUAGCGGUGAAAUGCGUAGAGAUCUGGAGGAAUACCGGUGGCGAAGGCGGCCCCCUGGACAAAGACUGACGCUCAGGUGCGAAAGCGUGGGGAGCAAACCGGAUUAGAUACCCGGGUAGUC
rnacentral:rRNA from 1 species